AGCGUGUAGACGAUCUCACUUUCACCGUCCUCCUCGUCGUCGUCGUCGGCAGCUCGCUGCUCGCUGGCGGUGUCGAAGAUGCCGAAGCAGGUAAGCAUGCGCAUGAGCCGCCGGAGGUGCGAGCGCUUGGCGGGGUGGACACCGGUGCCGGCGACGAGGUCGGAGAUUGUUGCUGCGCCGCCGCGGCGGUGGAUGGCGCCGGGGAUGCCUAGUCCAACCGCGCACAGCAGCGCCGAGGACUUGAUGUGGUAAAGGCCGUGGUGAUACAGCUCCACGUAAGUUUGGUGCUCUGCAUGGGCAGAAGAAGUCGACAUGGUUGAUGAGAUGUUGAAUAAUUUUUCAAUUGUUGUCGAUAUUUCAUACAUGGAUGCAUGGGUCUCCAUUGGCGCAUAUUUUAUAAGGGAGUAUCCGUGGAAAAGAUCCUCAUGAAGCAACCAUGGACACCCAACGUGGAUUAAUUAGCAACACUCAGUGUUCAUACGCUUACAUCCAAAACGUAUGAAAGAUUUAUAGUUUUCUCUUUCUAAUUAUUCCUCCUAAUAAAUUUAGGCAACAGUCUCAUCGUUAGAUGCAUGCAUAUGGAUACGUGUCUAUAUCCACAACCGGUGUCCAUGGUUUUGAUCCUAGGACUGUCCCUAGUAAGGCCUUGUUUGGAUGUUGUCGUAUUUACUUCAAUCCAUGUGUGUUUGUGUGGAUUGGAGUGGAAUUUAGUUCAAGUUCCACUCCAAUCCACCUCAACCCAUGUGGAUUGAUGUGAAUACGACUACAUCCAAACAAGGCCUAAAACUUUUUUUCCUCCAGCAAACACAUGGCCAGAGCUGAAUCUUUUUUGUUUUAAACGAAAAAUGAUAAUAUUUUAAUAAUAUUCAUAACUAAAUUUUCAGUAUCUACUCUUUUUCAACACCCCACUAGACAUGGCAUGACAAAUGAAUAUAGUCACGCUCACGCCAUAUGCAUUAGCGUGACUAAAUAUAUGUUGGUGUGUGUACCGUGAAUACUUUUCAUAUAGAAUUGAGUCAACCCAUUUUGCUUGGCAAGUUGGCAUGACUAACAUCAAGCUGAGUCACGCCAGUAUAAUACAUUUGUGUGAGUGUGUCCGUUCUCAUUGGGCGCUUUUUGAUUUUUUUUAAAAAAGACUAUUUUUAGGUUAAAUAGGUUAGCAGAAAAUUCAAAUAUAGUAUUAUAGGAACAAAAUUCAAAUAAAAUUGAUCGUGCUUAAUUUUUAACAUAUAUACUACAUAAAAAAUUUAAAACAUGCUUAGAUUUUAAUCAACAGAAAACCAAAAAAAUUAAUAGCACUGAACGAGAAUAUACUGCACAUGUAUAUAUCACGCCACUCGUGAUGGCAUGACUUAGCUUUUAAUCACACGCCAAAUAAAAUAGCACGACUCAAUACUAUAUAUAUAGAAAUUGUUUAGGCACGCCUCCAUAUAUCUAUUUAGUUACGUCAAUACAGAUGACACAACUUGUUUAUUUAUCACGGUGUACCCUCUGGUAUGAAGAAAAUAUUUAGUUUCUCAGAAUUUUGUAUAAAAUAAGAAAAAUCAGAGCUAGCCUCUGACUACGUACAUCGACAAAAAUGGACAUUACAAGAACGAAACGACGAAAAAGAUAAGGUUCUCAGUCCCUUUGGGGCCGUGAUCACGUGGACAAAUUAUAACGGCCAUUUGUGCAGAAAAAUGCAAAAGAAAACUGACAAACGUUGCAGACCAAAACAAAUCGUGAACUGUGUUUCUUUCCUGCUCAUCUCACCCUAAUGAGUGUGCACUUGUAUUUGUGGGUAUCUAUAUCUUUAACUGGGUCUCAUAAAAAAAAUACAAUUAUGGAAUUCCUAUAAGUCAAACUAACUUAAGUUUUAUUAAUUUAUAUUGAAAGGUAUUAACAUUUAUAUCUUCAACUAAGUUUACCAUAAAAAUAUAUUCCGUAAUUAAUUUAACGGUAUUUAUUUGUAUGAAAUAUAAAUAGUUCUUUUAUAAGUUUGGUUAAACUUCAAGUCAUUUGAAUUUUAAAAAAGUGAGAAUUACAUUUCUCUUUUAGGACAGAUGGAGUACUUUACCGUAUAAGUUGUCCCUCUCUGUCAAAUCUCCAUGAGUCAAUUCCAUAUGAUUGAUGUUGAGGUAGUGGAUUGAGGAUAGCUGGUGCUACUGAAAAUGUUAAGCUCCAAUAGUGGCGUAUGAUAGUUACAUAUAUAUAAAUCUAAGCAUAUAUGUCAUGAAUAAUGUAUAUAAGUAGACUUUAAUGAUACUCAAAGAAAUAGGUUAAGAAAAAAUAGGUUCCGCACAUUAGAUAUAUCAAAGUUUAUAAAGAAAUAAAUUAUAUGUUUGUAAUAAAUAGCUCAUAUAGGGCCAUCAUUCGUUAUUAUUGUUGUCAAAGGAAGCAACUUCAUCAGUAUAUAAUGGGCAUUUAAAUCAUCUGCUUAUGUUGAGUGGGGGUCAUAGUGGGCUAGCUAGGGAUAUUUGGUGCAUACCAUGCCACGCUAUUACGGCCGCUACGAAGAAUUGCGAACUGUUAGGCCAGUCUCAAUGCAUAGUUUCAUGGCACAGUUACCAAGACUAGGUAACCGAGCCAUAGCAGUUUCAUGGGGAUGAAACUCCUCUCUCAUCUGAUGAAACUUCUUCAUUUAAUGACCCUGCCAAGUCAGCAAAUUUGCUUAUGUGGCACCCUAUUUAAUGUGCAUGAUACUCUCAUAAAACAUGCAUUGAGACUGACCUUAUAACAGCCUUGUAACUCAAAUAGCGUUCGCUGUAAGUUUCAGCUUAAGAAAUAGUCCUCUACUCCUUGUGUGGUAUCCUAAUAAUUUUAAGACAUAAAGAUGUAUAUACCCUCAUUUUAUUUCAUAUACUACCGGACUCAGCUUGUAAAACCCACACCAUCUAAUUUUAGACGGCAAAGAGACAUUUGUCAAGAGUUUUUUUAAGCACUCGGCAAAAAUAUUGGUGAGUGCGGAGUCCACAUUUGGCAAAAAAACAAAUACUCGACAAAAUUUGAAAAGAAAAAACACAAAAAAUAGCAAAAAAAAAUUUAAUUAGGGGCCUAAAACAGCUAGUGCUUAGCCCAUACCCCAUCGAGGUCACAAGCCGCAAUAUUUUUUGUGGGCUAAGUGGUCGGCCAAAUUUGAACCCGCGACCUACCCCACGCACUUACCCUCUCUUACCACUACACCACACUAUUAUUUGUGUCUAAAAUCCGUUUUGAUUCCCUACAUAUUAUAUUAACCUGAGUGUAAAUUUCUUAUUUGAGGCCCUAAAUAAUUUAAAUUUAAAAGUUGUCAACUGUAAAGUUUCAUAAAUUUUCAAGAUCUACAACUUUUAUUUUAAUAGUUUCUCAAUCCGAGGUUGUUUAUAAAAUUUGAAUUUUAAAUUUUAGAAAUUCUAACAUAGUUUUCGUUGACAAGAUGAUUUCAAAUUUAAAAGUUAUCAACUAUAAAGUUUCAUAAACUUUCGAUAUAUACAAUUUUUAUUUUUCUUAUUUUCCCAUCUGAGCUACUUUAAGAAAAAACAAAUUUCAAUUUUUUCCAAAUUCAAACUUACUUUUUGUUGGCAAAAUUAAUUCAAUUUAAAAAUUGUUCAACUACAAAGUUGUAUAACUUUUGAAGAUCUAAAACUUUUCCUUUGAUCAUUUGAUCAAUUGAUAUAGUGGCACUAAUAUUAUUUACAAAUCUUAUAUAUCUCUGUUCUAGUUUUAUAAAACUAUACGAGAGAGCUGUAGAUUUUAUGAACAAUGUUAUUAUCACUUUGUUGAAUGAAGAAAAUGACCAAAAUAAAAAGUUAUAGAUAUUGAGAAAUUAUAUAACUUUAUAGUUAAAAACUUUUUUAUUUGAAUUAAUUUACUGCUUUAAUAUAUGCUUUGAAGUUCUAUUUGCCGAGUGUUAAAUUUUAGGCACUCAGCAAGGUCCUAUUUUCUGAGUGUUAAAUUUCAGGCACUCAGCAAAGUCUUGUUUGACAAGUGCGAAACAAAACAAUACUUGGCAAAGAUCUAGUUUGUCGAGUGCAAAAAAACACUCGGCAAACAAGCAAGUUUGCCAAGUACUGUUAUUUUACCAAGUGUUUUUGCACAGCACUCGGCAAAGAGCUCAUUUGUCGAGUGCCUGAAGGUUUGUACUCGUUAAAGAGCCAGUUUCCAGUAACGUAAAUUAGAUGCUAUCAUCAAUAUGAUUAAAGGUGAUUGGUUGAUAAAUAGAAAAUAUUUAAUAUAAAAAUAGUUUUUAUCAUUCUAUCUAGAAUGUAUUAUAUUUGAGAAAAAAAAUUAAAGGUUAAAAUAUACUAUAUUAACGGACGAAAGAAGUACCUUAUAACGGUUGGUGGAGACCUCUAUCGCGGUCGCUACAGCUGCUAUUCAGUAUCAUUAUUGGACAUCUCCACGGGCCAUGGCCCCGCCCUCCCCCACCACAUACAAGCCAACUGUCACCUAACGUCCGUAGCAGUGGAUCACUGUCAGGCAUGCUUCUGGCACGCCAAAAAUGUGUUUAGUAUAAUGACAGAGUGUACCUGCUAAGAGAAAUACCAGAGGCCGCACAUGCACAACGAUUAUCACGGCAGCUUAUCAGAUAGGAAGGGACUCAAGGGAGAUGAUUCAGAAUUGAGGCAAGAGCAAAGCAAUUAGGCAGGAACAGACGAAGAGUGCUUAGUAGAUAGCAAGUUGGUCACAAUAGUUUGGAUAUAUAACCCCUUUCACUAAGAAGAUGCUAGGCUAUAUAUAAUAGUGAGACGCGCGCACACACACUUGAGGUUCAGGCUAGGGGUGCAAAUGAGCGAUGAUUAGGUGCACCUCUAAACCUCUUUAGUUCAAAUAUUUAUACUACUUCUCCAAAAAAAAUUUAAAAGUAGUACAAAUAUUUGAACUAAAGAGGUUUGGAGGUGCAUCUAAACGUUAGCCCUUUGCACACCUAGUUCAGGCGCUUGACUGUAGCCCAUACGGUUCAUACGGUUCAGGCGCUUCUGUUGUCGGACGAUCGUCAGGCCAGGCGUCGCUGAAUCCGAGCCGGAAGCCGUAUCAGUGUCACUCACAGCAAAUGGAGUGCUCAAUGUGGACUGAAGAGUUGAACAUGGCGCUGACAGCCUUCUCAGGAUUGGACGGCAGCUUUGUCUAUAUAUGGUGGUGCGUCAGCAGCCCUCUUUCUGCCACUCCCAUCUUAAUCGCAGUGCAAAUCCGAGGAAUUUGAUAUUCGGCAUUCCCAACCUGCCGUAGAAUUUGGGCGAUCAGACGACGAUCAGCCAGGCGAUCUUGCAUUUUCUCCCGGCCGGCAACCGAUUCCGAUCUGUUUCUCAGGAACGCUCGACGUCGCUUAUAGAUCUGCCAGACCGCCCAAGCGGACAAGGAUGGAGACGUACGUGUACCGGGAUAGCUGAGAGCAUCGCAUGCACGAGCAUGGACCUCCCGGCCGCAUUGAGGAGCCCUGCCUAAAAUGUCAGAAUCCGACUCGCGAUGGCGUCGACCAGGGCCUUGUUUAGACACUGUAGUGCUUUCGUUUGUAUUUAACAAAUAUUGUUUAAUGAUGGACUACCUAGACUCAAAAGAUUCAUCUCGUAAAUUACAUUAAACUGUAUAAUUAGUUUUUUAUUUUUAUCUAUAUUAUAUGUAAUGCUCCAUGCAUGCGUCUAAAGAUUCGAUGUGACGGAAAAAUCUAAAAAAAUUUGCAAAAUCUUCUCGAACUAAACAAGGACCGAUGUUGUUUGUCAGUACGUGUCGUAGCGUGGUUACCAAUAGUGGGGCUCCGAGGUAGCGACAUGGGAAGGCCUAUACUUGACAAGGGAACACCUGUUGUCAUCUUCGUUGCAUCAGAUUCCGAAGUACAAGUUCACUUGAAGCCUACAUAUCCAUUGAGGAGGCCGUGAGUGACCUCUGAAGCUGAAGCUCUAGUUGGGUCGUCUCUUUCAAUCGUUUUCUAGAAUUGACUAGAUGAUCCGUUUUUGCUUGCGGGGCAAUAGCCCUCACAAAUUGUCAUAUGGAUUCAUCACAAGCGCACAGGAGCACCGAACGCCACCUAAUAAUCACCAAGAAAGCUUUACAUCCAAAUGCAACAAAUGUGCAACUGAGAUUCUUGACUUAUCACAAGUGCUCAAGGCUGUGGACUGUCCAUACAAGCUCACUAAGGCUCUCAAACUUCAAAUAUCUCAAUAAUCAACUUUUUUUUAAAAAAAUAAAAACCCAAAUCAGUCAAGUCUCAAAACAAUGACCAAAAUAUUAUAAGCAGACAGGCAGCUGUUGUAACUUGAAGAAAUCACAAAAUAAUCAAACAAUGAUGUACGAGAAAAAGAAACACAGAUCGAUUCAGUUCAUGGUCUUUCAACUUUACUGUUUUUGAUGGUAUAAGUACAACAAAGCCUUGCCCUGCUGAUUGCUUAUAUAAAGAACAAUACAAUAUAUAUGGGGAUAAUAAGUCCCUGUGAAAUACAUACCUUAUAUUAUGCAAAUGGAACAAGACCUCAAAAACUACUCAGGUUUUUUUUUUGUAAUACAGAGGCACACAACAGUAAAUUUGGUUUUGGCGAUGUUGACAUUUUAUGGAACUUCCAUGCAUGAUACAAACAACCGUGAAUAACAUAGUGAUCACAAUUCAUUGUUUAUCUCUUAUUGACGUUGUAGUACUUAACUAUAUAUAUAGAUAGAUAGUUUCCCGGCCCAUUAUUAUUGAGCUUCUUCAUGGAAAAACCUCAAUAAUUGAAUGAAAACCUAAUAUGGGCGUGAUCUUGUAAUCACUGAAUCCAGCUUUUGAAAAGAUUUUUCUCCAUUCGUGCUCCUCUCGCUCAGACCCACCAUAUCGCAUCAUGUACAUAUCAAACAGCACUUGCGUCUCCUUGACAACUUUGUCGAGUGUUCCAUAGCCGACCACAAUACUCAUAAUGAUCACUUUACCUCCAGCAUCUCUGGAGGGAAUCGCUCUCUUGCACUGUCUAAGUAUCUUGACACAGUGGUCAUCAUCCCAACAGUGCAAAACAUGCUGAAACAUUACAUGUGCAUACAUACAUAGACAUCACUUAUCCACACGAAUAUUCCAUGCAUAAAUCCCUAGUUAGUACUACCACUGAUCUAAUAAUGAUGAUUGAUGAGGAAUAUAUACAAAUUUAUUACCUUUAGGAAAACAGCAUCUGCAGGUGGAAUAGACUCGAACAUGUCACCGGCGAUGAACUUCACCGUGCUAUGAAUAAGAUCAGUAGUUGGCACCUUGAUGAUCACUUGUUCGAGGUCUAGCACACUGCACUUGAUGUGUGGAAAGGCCGUAGCGAUGGCCAUAGCGGCUGCGCCAUGGCCCCCUCCAACAUCGACCAGCGAGGUGAGCCCACUGAAGAUACUACUGGCACCUCUGCAGGUAUCUUUCAGCAUGACGUCCAUAGCCAAGCUGGUGUCGGCGACACAGCCUUCGUUCAUGGCUCUGUUGUAGGCGGCGUCGUUCUUGGUCAAGGUCCAUGGAGGCACACCAAGUGCCAUCUCGAACAGCGUCGUGGCGCCUCCGCCGUCUCUGAACCACUCUUCCAAGCUGAAGAAAGUGGAGACGGACGUGCUCGGGCGUGCCACCAGGCGGAGCAGUGCCGACAUGUCAAGCGACGGCGAGGCGGCGGCGGCGGCGCCUGAUGCGUCCUUGUCGCCGACGAGGACGCUGGACACGGGCGUCAGCGUGUAGAUCACGGUCUCACUCUCACCGUCAUCGGUGGCGGCGGAACCUUCUCGCUGCUCGCUGGCGGCACCGAAGAUGCCGAAGCAGGUAAGCAUGCGCAUGAGCCGCCGGAGGUGCGAGCGCUUGGCGGGGCGGACACCGGUGUCGGUGACGAGGUCGGAGAUGGUUGCUGCGCCGCCGCGGAUGGCGCCGGGGAUGCCUAGUCC
rnacentral:lncRNA from 1 species